GACGAACGCUGGCGGCGUGCUUAACACAUGCAAGUCGAACGGUAAGGCCCUUCGGGGUACACGAGUGGCGAACGGGUGAGUAACACGUGGGUGAUCUGCCCUGCACUUCGGGAUAAGCCUGGGAAACUGGGUCUAAUACCGGAUAGGACCACUGCCUGCAUGGGGGGUGGGGGAAAGCUUUUGCGGUGUGGGAUGGGCCCGCGGCCUAUCAGCUUGUUGGUGGGGUGAUGGCCUACCAAGGCGACGACGGGUAGCCGGCCUGGGAGGGUGACCGGCCACACUGGGACUGAGAUACGGCCCAGACUCCUACGGGAGGCAGCAGUGGGGAAUAUUGCACAAUGGGCGCAAGCCUGAUGCAGCGACGCCGCGUGAGGGAUGACGGCCUUCGGGUUGUAAACCUCUUUCAGCACCGACGAAGCGCAAGUGACGGUAGGUGCAGAAGAGGGACCGGCCAACUACGUGCCAGCCGCCGCCGUAA
rnacentral:rRNA from 1 species